GAUGAACGCUGGCGGCAUGCCUAACACAUGCAAGUCGAUCGGUAAGGCUCUUCGGAGUACCCGAGAGGCGGACGGCUGAGUAACGCGUAGGAACACACCCUGCAGUGAGGGAUAAGACACCGAAAGGUGUUCUAAUACCGCAUACGGUCUUCGGAUUAAAGCAUUUAUGCGCUGAAGGAGUGGCCUGCGUCAUAUUAGAUAGUUGGUGAGGUAAUGGCUCACCAAGUCGAUGAUGUGUAGCUGGUCUGAGAGGAUGAUCAGCCAGACUGGAACUGAGACACGGUCCAGACUCCUACGGGAGGCAGCAGUGAGGAAUAUUUCACAAUGAGCGAAAGCGUGAUGGAGCAAUGCCGCGUGCAGGAUGAAGGCCCUCGGGUUGUAAACUGCUUUUAUAAGAGAAGAUUAUGACGGUAACUUAUGAAUAAGGGACGGCUAACUACGUG
rnacentral:rRNA from 1 species